rnacentral:lncRNA from 1 species
CCGUGCACCUGGAGACCUGGGCAGGGAGCUGAUGUUCCAGUUUAAGGCCAUGCAGCUGUAUACCCGGGGGGAACUGAUGUUGCAGUUUGAGGGCCGUGCAUCUGGAGACCCGGUGGGGAGCCAGUGUUGCAGGUUGAGGGCCAUGCAGCUGGAGACCCGGUGGGGAGCCGAUGUUCCAGUUUGAGGGCCAUGCAUCUGGAGACCCGGUGGGGAGCUGAUGUUGCAGUUUGAGGGCCGUUCAUGUGGAGACCCAGUGGGGAGCUGAUGUUGCAGGUUGAGGGCUGUGCACCUGGAGCCCCGGGGUGGAGCUUAUAUUCCAGUUUGAGGGCCGUGCAGCUGGCGAUCUGGUGGGGAGCUGAUGUUCCAGUUUGAGGGCCAUGCAGCUGGAGACCUGGCAGGGAGCUCAUGUUCCAGUUUGCAGGCAGUGCAGCUGGAGACCUGGCGGGGAGCUGAUGUUCCAGUUUGANGUCCGUGCAGCUGGAGAUCUGGUGGGNAGCUGAUGUUCCAGUUUGAGGGCCCUGCAGCUGGAGACCCGUGGGGAUCUGAUGUUCCAGUUUGAGGGUGGUGCUGCUGGCGACCCAGGCGGGAGCUGAUGUUCUAGUUUUAGGGCCCUACAGCUGGAGACCCGGGGAGGAGCUGACGUUCCCGUUCGAGGGCCGUGCAGGUGGAGACCUGGGGAGGAACUGAUGUUAUUCUAAUUUGAGUGUUGUGCAGCUGGAGAUCCAGGGAUGAGAUGGUCCUGCGGUUCAAAUAUGAGGGUCCCGGAGCUGGACUCUACGUGAGGAACCAAUGCUGCCUCUGAUGUCUUAGGUUGUGGAGCUGGAAACUCGCGGAGGAGCUGGUAUUGGUGUUUCUAGUUGAGGGUCGUGGUAUUUCCAGGGUUUCACAAAGGCCAGAUUUUAUUUCAGUUACUCAGAAGAGAAAGAAAAUGUCUUCUGAAAG